rnacentral:rRNA from 1 species
UACGUAGGGGACAAGCGUUGUCCGGAUUUACUGGGCGUAAAGAGCGCGCAGGCGGUCCUUUAAGUCUGAUGUGAAAGCCCACGGCUCAACCGUGGAGGGUCAUUGGAAACUGGGGGACUUGAGUGCAGAAGAGGAAAGCGGAAUUCCACGUGUAGCGGUGAAAUGCGUAGAGAUGUGGAGGAACACCAGUGGCGAAGGCGGCUUUCUGGUCUGUAACUGACGCUGAGGCGCGAAAGCGUGGGGAGCAAACAGG